rnacentral:miRNA from 1 species
AGUAGAGAUGAGGUUUCACCAUGUUGGUCAGGCUGGUCUCAAACUCCUGACCUCAGGUGAUCCACCCACC